rnacentral:rRNA from 1 species
CCUACGGGCGGCAGCAGUGAGGAAUAUUGGUCAAUGGACGAGAGUCUGAACCAGCCAAGUAGCGUGAAGGAUGACUGCCCUAUGGGUUGUAAACUUCUUUUAUAAAGGAAUAAAACGAGGCACGUGUGCCUUUUUUCAUGUACUUUAUGAAUAAGGAUCGGCUAACUCCGCGCCAGCAGCCGCGGUAAUACGGAGGAUCCGAGCGUUAUCCGGAUUUAUUGGGUUUAAAGGGAGCGUAGAUGGGUUGUUAAGUCAGUUGUGAAAGUUUGCGGCUCAACCGUAAAAUUGCAAUUGAUACUGGCAGUCUUGAGUACAGUUGGGGUAGGCGGAAUUCGUGGUGUAGCGGUGAAAUGCUUAGAUAUCACGAAGAACCCCGAUUGCGAAGGCAGCUUACUAAACUGUGACUGACAUUGAUGCUCGAAAGUGUGGGUAUCAAACAGGAUUAGAUACCCGGGUAGUC